CCACCAAAGACUAGAAAGUAUUUAAGCACUGUCUACCUUCCAUGUCUCCAGCUGGCAAUAGGUUAAUACACGCCAUUUAAGGAUUAAUCAAGAUAUGGAGGCCGCUGCCAAACACUUCUUCUCCUCCCCACGGUUCGCCGUAGCCGGCGCCAGCACCGAUCCCAGCAAGUUUGGCUACAAGAUCCUCGCCUGGUACCACCAGCACUCUCUCCCCGUUACCCCUUUGAACCCACGGGCCUCCGAAAUCGCCCUGCCUUCGAAGACAUAUAGCACUCUGCCAUCCCCCUCCGCCCUCCCGGCACCUACCCAGACAUCUCUCUCCAUCGUCACCCCGCCUAAAGUGACGCUUGCGGUCCUUAAGGAGGCCAAGGCCGUGGAUGUCCCCGCCGUGUGGCUGCAGCCGGGCACCUUUGACGACGA
rnacentral:sRNA from 1 species